GACGAACGCUGGCGGCGUGCCUAAUACAUGCAAGUAGAACGCACAGUUUAUACCGUAGCUUGCUACACCAUAGACUGUGAGUUGCGAACGGGUGAGUAACGCGUAGGUAACCUGCCUGGUAGCGGGGGAUAACUAUUGGAAACGAUAGCUAAUACCGCAUAAUAUUAAUUAUUGCAUGAUAAUUAAUUGAAAGGUGCAAUUGCACCACUACCAGAUGGACCUGCGUUGUAUUAGCUAGUAGGUGAGGUAACGGCUCACCUAGGCGACGAUACAUAGCCGACCUGAGAGGGUGAUCGGCCACACUGGGACGGUGACACGGCCCAGACUCCUACGGGAGGCAGCAGGAGGGAAUCUUCGGCAAUGGACGAAAGUCUGACCGAGCAACGCCGCGUGAGUGAAGAAGGUUGUCGGAUCGUAAAGCUCUGUUGUAAGAGAAGAACGGGUGUGAGAGUGGAAAGUUCACACUGUGACGGUAUCUUACCAGAAAGGGACGGCUAACUACGUG
rnacentral:rRNA from 1 species